rnacentral:rRNA from 1 species
GACGAACGCUGGCGGCGUGCUUAACACAUGCAAGUCGAACGGAAAGGCCCCUUCGGGGGUACUCGAGUGGCGAACGGGUGAGUAACACGUGGGUGAUCUGCCCCUGACUUUGGGAUAAGCCUGGGAAACUGGGUCUAAUACCGGAUAUGACCAAGGACUGCAUGGUUUUUUGGUGGAAAGCUUUUGCGGUUGGGGAUGGGCCCGCGGCCUAUCAGCUUGUUGGUGGGGUAAUGGCCUACCAAGGCGACGACGGGUAGCCGACCUGAGAGGGUGGUCGGCCACACUGGGACUGAGACACGGCCCAGACUCCUACGGGAGGCAGCAGUGGGGAAUAUUGCACAAUGGGCGCAAGCCUGAUGCAGCGACGCCGCGUGAGGGAUGACGGCCUUCGGGUUGUAAACCUCUUUCACCAGGGACGAAGCUUUUGUGACGGUACCUGGAGAAGAAGCACCGGCCAACUACGUGCCAGCAGCCGCGGUAAUAC